rnacentral:rRNA from 1 species
UCAAGCUACAAAGAGCACAAGGGGAAUGCCUUGGCACCGAGAGCCGAAGAAGGACGUGACUAACUGCGAUAAGCUGCGGGGAGCCGUAAGUAGGCUUUGAUCCGCAGAUUUCCGAAUGGAGCAAUCCGGCAAGAGGAAAGUCUUGUCAUCAUAUACUGAAUACAUAGGUAUAUGAGGGGAACCGCCUGAACUGAAACAUCUAAGUAGGGCGAGGAAGAGAAAUCAACUGAGAUUCCGUAAGUAGUGGCGAGCGAACGCGGAAGAGGCCAAACCGAGAGUAGUAAUACUUUCGGGGUUCGGACAGAAUACGGCAUUGUAAAGGUUUAGUGGAAUGGAAUGGGAAGUCCAACCGAAGAAGGUGAGAGUCCUGUACACGAAAAGCCUGAACAGCCAUCUGUAUCCAGAGUACCGCCGGACACGUGAAACCCGGUGGGAAUACGGGGGGACCAUCCUCCAAGCCUAAAUACUACUCGGUGACCGAUAGUGAAGAAGUACUGUGAAGGAAAGGUGAAAAGUACCCCUGACGGGGAGUGAAAAAGAACCUGAAACCUUGUGUUUACAAGCACCGAAAGCUCAUCAAAGAGCGAUCGGGUACCUUUUGUAGAAUGGUCCGGCGAGUGAAUGUAACCGGCGAGGUUAAGCACUUAAGGUGUGAAGCCGCAGCGAGAGCAAGUCUGAAUAGGGCGUAUGAAGUCGGUUGUAUUCGACCCGAAACCGGGUGACCUACCCAUGGUCAGGUUGAAGUAAAGGUAAAACUUUAUGGAGGACCGAACCGACUCCCGUUGAAAUGGUAGCGGAUGAACUGUGGGUAGCGGAGAAAUUCCAAUCGAACCCGGAGAUAGCUGGUUCUCUCCGAAAUAGCUUUAGGGCUAGCCUUGAAAUAGAUUACCGGAGGUAAAGCACUGAAUUGGCUAGGGGCCGAGAGGUUACUGAACCUUAUCAAACUAAGAAUGCCGGAUAAUCGUUUUUCAGGAGUCAGACAGUGGGAGAUAAGUUUCAUUGUCAAAAGGGAAACAGCCCAGACCCACAGCUAAGGUCCCCAAGUAUAGUUAAGUGGAAAAGGAUGUGGAAUUGCACAGACAACCAGGAUGUUGGCUUAGAAGCAGCCACUCAUUAAAAGAGUGCGUAAUAGCUCACUGGUCGAGUGACUCUGCGCGGAAAAUAUAACGGGGCUAAGCAUGAAACCGAAGCUUGGGCUUGUACUUAGGUACAGGGGUAGGGGAGCGUCGAGUAUGGGGUGAAGUCAGAGCGGAAGCACUGGUGGACUGUACUCGAGUGAGAAUGCCGGAAUGAGUAGCGAGAAUUAUGUGGGAAUCAUAAUGGCCGAAAAUCUAAGGUUUCUUGGGGAAGGUUCGUCCGCCCAAGGUAAGCCGGGAGCUAAGGCGAGGCCGAAAGGCGUAGUCGAUGCACAUACGGUUGAAAUUCCGUAGCCGCCGAAAUUGUUAAGCACAGGGACACAUAGAGAUAUCCGAACCCGGGCGUUGGUUGACCCGGGCGCAAGGGACCGAACAUCAGUAGGGAAGUCGGAGAUGCUCUGUGGCGAGAAAAGCUGUGUGUAUUGAUUAGGCGCCCGUACCGCAAACCGACACAGGUAGAUGAGGAGAGAAUCCUAAGGCCAACGGGAGAAGGGUUGUUAAGGAACUCGGCAAAUUGACCCCGUAACUUCGGAAGAAGGGGAGCCCCCUACGGGGGGUCGCAGAGAAAUGGCCCAAGCAACUGUUUACCAAAAACACAGGUCUAUGCUAAAUCGAAAGAUGACGUAUAUGGGCUGACGCCUGCCCGGUGCCGGAAGGUUAAGAGGAGAUGUCAGGCAACGAAGCAUUGAAUUUAAGCCCCGGUAAACGGCGGCCGUAACUAUAACGGUCCUAAGGUAGCGAAAUUCCUUGUCAGGUAAGUUCUGACCCGCACGAAUGG